rnacentral:rRNA from 1 species
AUUGAACGCUGGCGGUAUGCUUAACACAUGCAAGUCGAACGGUAACAGGCCUUCGGGCGCUGACGAGUGGCGGACGGGUGAGUAACGCGUAGGAAUCUGCCUCAUAGUGGGGGACAACGUGGGGAAACUCACGCUAAUACCGCAUACGCCCUACGGGGAAAGCGGGGGAGUCUUCGGACCUCGCGCUAUGAGAUGAGCCUGCGUUAGAUUAGCUAGUUGGUAGGGUAAAGGCCUACCAAGGCGACGAUCUAUAGCUGGUCUGAGAGGACGAUCAGCCACACUGGGACUGAGACACGGCCCAGACUCCUACGGGAGGCAGCAGUGGGGAAUAUUGGACAAUGGGCGCAAGCCUGAUCCAGCAAUACCGCGUGUGUGAAGAAGGCCCUAGGGUUGUAAAGCACUUUCAAUUGGGAGGAAAACCUGCCGGUCAAUACCGGCAGCUUGACAUUACCUUUAGUAAGAAGCACCGGCUAACUCCGUG